GAUGAACGCUGGCGGCGUGCCUAAUACAUGCAAGUCGAGCGAACGGACGAGAAGCUUGCUUUUCUGAUGUUAGCGGCGGACGGGUGAGUAACGCGUGGAUAACCUACCUAUAAGACUGGGAUAACUUCGGGAAACCGGAGCUAAUACCGGAUAAUAUUUUGAACCGCAUGGUUCAAAAGUGAAAGACGGUCUUGCUGUCACUUAUAGAUGGAUCCGCGCUGCAUUAGCUAGUUGGUAAGGUAACGGCUUACCAAGGCAACGAUGCAUAGCCGGCCUGAGAGGGUGAUCGGCCACACUGGAACUGAGACACGGUCCAGACUCCUACGGGAGGCAGCAGUAGGGAAUCUUCCGCAAUGGGCGAAAGCCUGACGGAGCAACGCCGCGUGAGUGAUGAAGGUCUUCGGAUCGUAAAACUCUGUUAUUAGGGAAGAACAUAUGUGUAAGUAACUGUGCACAUCUUGACGGUACCUAAUCAGAAAGCCACGGCUAACUACGUGCCAGCAGCCGCGGUAAUACGUAGGUGGCAAGCGUUAUCCGGAAUUAUUGGGCGUAAAGCGCGCGUAGGCGGUUUUUUAAGUCUGAUGUGAAAGCCCACGGCUCAACCGUGGAGGGUCAUUGGAAACUGGAAAACUUGAGUGCAGAAGAGGAAAGUGGAAUUCCAUGUGUAGCGGUGAAAUGCGCAGAGAUAUGGAGGAACACCAGUGGCGAAGGCGACUUUCUGGUCUGUAACUGACGCUGAUGUGCGAAAGCGUGGGGAUCAAACAGGAUUAGAUACCCUGGUAGUCCACGCCGUAAACGAUGAGUGCUAAGUGUUAGGGGGUUUCCGCCCCUUAGUGCUGCAGCUAACGCAUUAAGCACUCCGCCUGGGGAGUACGACCGCAAGGUUGAAACUCAAAGGAAUUGACGGGGACCCGCACAAGCGGUGGAGCAUGUGGUUUAAUUCGAAGCAACGCGAAGAACCUUACCAAAUCUUGACAUCCUUUGACAACUCUAGAGAUAGAGCCUUCCCCUUCGGGGGACAAAGUGACAGGUGGUGCAUGGUUGUCGUCAGCUCGUGUCGUGAGAUGUUGGGUUAAGUCCCGCAACGAGCGCAACCCUUAAGCUUAGUUGCCAUCAUUAAGUUGGGCACUCUAAGUUGACUGCCGGUGACAAACCGGAGGAAGGUGGGGAUGACGUCAAAUCAUCAUGCCCCUUAUGAUUUGGGCUACACACGUGCUACAAUGGACAAUACAAAGGGCAGCGAAACCGCGAGGUCAAGCAAAUCCCAUAAAGUUGUUCUCAGUUCGGAUUGUAGUCUGCAACUCGACUACAUGAAGCUGGAAUCGCUAGUAAUCGUAGCUCAGCAUGCUACGGUGAAUACGUUCCCGGGUCU
rnacentral:rRNA from 1 species